GCGAGUGAAGCAGGCAAGAGCUCCAAAUUUAGAAAUCUGGCCCCUCCGGGGUCCGAGUUGUAAUUUGCAGAGGAUGCUUCGGGUGCGGCCCCUGUCUAAGUGCCCUGGAACGGGCCGUCAGAGAGGGUGAGAAUCCCGUCUUGGGCAGGGUGCCCGUGCCCGUGUGAAGCUCCUUCGACAAGUCGAGUUGUUUGGGAAUGCAGCUCUAAAUGGGUGGUAAAUUUCAUCUAAAGCUAAAUACCGGCCGGAGACCGAUAGCGCACAAGUAGAGUGAUCAAAAGAUG
rnacentral:rRNA from 1 species